rnacentral:rRNA from 1 species
AUAAUACUCCAUAGAUUAGAGACACUGGAAUGUUCUUUAGUCGAAAGUUCUGGCGCCUUAGGAUGGAUCUGCGGUCGAUUAGGUUGUUGUUGGGGUAACGGCCCAACAAGCCUGUAAUCGAUACGGGUUGUGGGAGCAAGAGCCCGGAGAUGGAAUCUGAGACACGAUUCCAGGCCCUACGGGGCGCAGCAGGCGCGAAAACUUUACAAUGCAGGAAACUGUGAUAAGGGAACUCCGAGUGCCCGUAUACGCGGGCUGUCCAGGUGUUUAAAAAUCAUCUGAAGAAAGGGCCGGGCAAGACCGGUGCCAGCCGCCGCGGUAAUACCGGCGGCUCGAGUGGUGGCCACUAUUAUUGGGCUUAAAGCGUCCGUAGCUGGACCGAUAAGUCUCUUGGGAAAUCCGCCGGCUCAACCGGCGGGCGUCUAAGGGAUACUGUUAGUCUAGGGACCGGGGGAGGUGAGAGGUACUCCGGGGGUAGGAGUGAAAUCCUGUAAUCCCCGGGGGACCACCGAUGGCGAAGGCAUCUCACCAGAACGGCUCCGACAGUGAGGGACGAAAGCUGGGGGAGCGAACCGGAUUAAUACCCGGGUAGUCCCAGCCGUAAACUAUGCGCGUUAGGUGU